GAUGAAGAACGUAGCGAAAUGCGAUAAGUAAUGUGAAUUGCAGAAUUCAGUGAAUCAUCGAAUCUUUGAACGCACAUUGCGCCCGCUAGUAUUCUGGCGGGCAUGCCUGUCCGAGCGUCAUUUCAACCCUCAAGCCCCCGGGCUUGGUGUUGGGGAUCGGCGAGCCUCCGCGCCCGCCGUCCCCUAAAUCUAGUGGCGGUCUCGCUGUAGCUUCCUCUGCGUAGUAGCACACCUCGCACUGGGAAACAGCGCGGCCACGCCGUUAAACCCUCAACUUCUGAACGUUUGACCUCGGAUCAGGUAGGAAUACCCGCUGAACUUAAGCAUAUCAAUAAGCGGAGGA
rnacentral:misc_RNA from 1 species